GGAACAAUUGGAACUUUUCAUGGUGAAUUGCAUGUGUUGUAGAGCACAAGUAGUAGGUCAACACUACAGUGUUAUAUAACAUGAAUGAUGUAUUUGUAGGAACAAAUCGUAGUGCUAAAUUUUUAAAAGUAGUGAAGCUAGUAAUCAUGUUAGACUAAGAUAUAAAUAAAGGCUCAAAUUUGAUAAUGGGACAGACAUCUUCAAAGGAAGAGGCACAAAGGUGAAAAAGGAGAACUUAUGGAAAAUGAUAGGUUAAGAGAGUAGUGGAGCCUUAAUCUAAGUGCCAAUGUGUUGAAAAGUAUGUCAAAUAGUAAGGAGAUUUCAGGUUGAAGUUAAAAAAAAGAAAACUCAUUCUAGAGGAAUAGAAAAUGAUAAAGUCAUGCUAACUAAGUUAUUCUGGAAUACAUAGACUUUU
rnacentral:misc_RNA from 1 species